ACGGGAGGCAGCAGUGGGGAAUAUUGCACAAUGGGGGAAACCCUGAUGCAGCAACGCCGCGUGAGUGAUGAAGUAUUUCGGUAUGUAAAGCUCUAUCAGCAGGAAAGGAAAUGACGGUACCUGCAUAAGAAGCCCCGGCUAACUACGUGCCAGCAGCCGCGGUAAUACGUAGGGGGCAAGCGUUAUCCGGAUUUACUGGGUGUAAAGGGAGCGUAGGUGGCAUGGCAAGUCAGAAGUGAAAACCCGCGGCUCAACUGCGGGACUGCAUUUGAAACUGUCAGACUGGAGUGCAGGAGAGGAAAGUGGAAUUCCUAGUGUAGCGGUGAAAUGCGUAGAUAUUAGGAAGAACACCAGUGGCGAAGGCGGCUUUCUGGACUGUAACUGACACUGAGGCUCGAAAGCGUGGGGAGCAAACAGGAUUAGAUACCCUGGUA
rnacentral:rRNA from 1 species